CUGGCCGUUCAGUGUCAUCAUGAACCAAAUUAUGAUUCAAGGAAAAUUGAAGCUUUUGCUGCCUGGAAACACCUGCUUCGCUUCCUCGAUUAUGCCGAAUCAUAGGCGUAGCAUGCUCAUUUACAAAAUAAUUUACAGGAUCAGCAGAGGAUCCAAGUGGCAAGCUUCCGAAUAAUUGAAGUUGAUUUGGUGCACUAGGAGGAUACUGG
rnacentral:misc_RNA from 1 species